rnacentral:rRNA from 1 species
GUAAUACGGAGGGGUGCAAGCGUUUAUCGGAAUUAUUGGGCGUAAAGCGCACGCAGGCGGUUUGUCAAGUCGGAUGUGAAAUCCCCGGCUCAACGUGGAAGUGCAUUGGAACUGGCAGGCUUGAGUCUGGUAGAGGAAGGUAGAAUUCCAGGUGUAGCGGUGAAAUUCGUAGAGAUCUGGAGGAAUACCGGUGGCGAAGGCGGCCUCYUGGACGAAGACUGACGCUCAGGUGCGAAAGCGUGGGGAGCAACCAGGAUUAGAUACCCUGGUAGUCCACGCCGUAAASGAUGUCGACUUGGAGGUUGUGCCCUUGAGGCCGUGGCUUCCGGAGCUAACGCGUUAAGUCGUCCGCCUGGGGAGUACGGCCGCAAGGUUAAAACUCAAAUGAAUUGACGGGGGCCCGCACAAGCGGUGGAGCAUGUGGUUUAAUUCGAUGCAACGCGAAGAACCUUACCUGGUCUUGACAUCCACAGAAUUUCUCAGAGAUGAGGAAGUUCCUUCGGGAACUGUGAGACAGGUGCUGCAUGGCUGUCGUCAGCUCGUGUUGUGAAAUGUUGGGUUAAGUCCCGCAACGAGCGCAACCCUUAUCCUUUGUUGCCAGCGGUCCGGCCGGGAACUCAAAGGAGACUGCCAGUGAUAAACUGGAGGAAGGUGGGGAUGACGUCAAGUCAUCAUGGCCCUUACGACCAGGGCUACACACGUGCUACAAUGGCGCAUACAAAGAGAAGCGACCUCGCGAGAGCAAGCGGUCCUCAUAAAGUGCGUCGUAGUCCGGACUGGAGUCUSCAACUCGACUCCACGAAGUCGGAAUCGCUAGUAAUCGUGAAUCAGAAUGUCACGGUGAAUACGUUCCCGGCCCUUGUACACCCCCCCCGUCGCACCAUGGGAGUGGGUUCCAAAAGAAGUAGGUA